GGUUGUGGCUCAGUGGUAGAGUGCUUGCUUAGCAUGCACAAGGCACUGGGUUUAAUCCUCAGCACCA
rnacentral:tRNA from 1 species